rnacentral:rRNA from 1 species
GAUGAACGCUGGCGGCGUGCCUAAUACAUGCAAGUCGAGCGGACGGACGAGAAGCUUGCUUCUUUGAUGUUAGCGGAGGACGGGUGAGUAACACGUGUAUAACCCACCUAUCAGACUGGGAUAACUUCGGGAAACCGUAGAUAACACCGGAGAAUAUUCUGAACCGCAUGGUUCAAAAGAGAAAGACGGUCUUGCUGUCACUUAUAGAUGCAUCUGCGCUGCAUUAGCUAGUUGGUAAGGUAACGGCUUACCAAGGCAACGAGGCAUAGACGACCUGAGAGAGUGAUCGGCGACACUGGAACUGAGCCACGGUCCAUACUCCUACGGGAGGCAGCAGUAGGCAAUCUUCCGCAAUGGGCGAAAGCCUGACGGAGCAACGGCGCGUGAGUGAUGAAGGUCUUCGGAUCGUAAAACUCUGUUAUUAGGGAAGAACAUAUGUGUAGGUAACUGUGCACAUCUUGACGGUAACUAAUCAGAAAGCCACGGCUAACUACGUG